rnacentral:rRNA from 1 species
AUUGAACGCUGGCGGCAGGCCUAACACAUGCAAGUCGAACGAGUGGCGGACUGGUUUGUUCUGUCUUGGUAACUGCCUGAUGGAUGCGGAUACCUACUCCAAACGUUCGCUACUCCCGCUUCCCAUCCGUUGUGCCCAGAUUGGUUUAGCUAGGCGGUGGGGGAACGGCCCACCAAGGCGACGAUCCCUCGCUGGUCUGAGAGGAUGACCAGCCACACUGGAACUGAGACACGGUCCAGACUCCUACGGGAGGCAGCAGUUGGGAAUAUUGCACAAUGGGCGCAAGCCUGAUGCAGCCAUGCCGCGUGUAUGAAGAAGGCCUUCGGGUUGUAAAGUACUUUCAGCGGGGCGGCGUUAACCGAAGAAGAAGGACCGGCUAACUCCGUGCCAGCCGCCGCGGUAAUAG